GUCUACCUCUGUUAGGGACUGUGUGGGGUGUAGCAGAAAGGAUGCAGACUACUGGCUCUCAGAGGAUUGCUACCUGGUGAGAGUGGACACACAAGAGAGCCUGAGAGCUUUAACUGAGAGUUGAAGUUAUUCUGGAGGAGGAAGAAGGUGGUGUGACCAACCCAUGAGGGUUUGCAUCGGGGGACAAAUGUUGAGUGCAGCAUUUGAAUGGCACGCCGUCUUCUCCAGACAGGCAAGAAGAAAGAGGGCUUUGUAGCUAGAGGAAGAGCAUGCGCAAUGGCAAGGGAGACGCAAAGGCUCAGUGUUUGCCCAGAGUGAGCUGCUUUUGGAGGUUGGUAGGUUUGGAGACUCAGCUAAAUCGGCUGACUGGCGCAAAAUGAGGGCAUCAUUAAGAAGAUACUGGGGAGUGGACCUGCCCUACAACACCACGGGCCAGAUGGAAAGUUAGAGUCUGAGGAAAGAUGUGACUAGAUCUAUGUGAGGGUGGAAACUACUGUCCCAAAAUCACGCUCCUGCGCUAACAAACUCUCCCACCCUUUCCCCACUGACAGACUUUUUUUUUUUUUAGCCAUAAGAUAGGUCGAAGCUCGCUUUCACUCCUCAGAGGGCUAGCGCUAAGGUUUUGGAAACUUCCCUGUUCCCAAAAUAGCCAGUUAGAAGGGUAGGAUAGUAGUCGGUUAUACAUAGAAAUUCGCCCUCAGAGAGUUCCAGUUCUGAACUGAAUCUGUUGUUAAAAGCAGCUGGGUUAUCCUGGGCAAACCACUUAACGCCUCCAAACUUGGUUGGCCCAGGUAGAACGGACUGAAGGGAGCAUCAUGUUUCCUCACUAAAGUCUCUAGACAAGGCAAUGAAAGCACAGAACUUAUGUGAAGCACAUGGAAGUGUCUAUCAAUUAUGUGUGCUAGGCGGGACCAACCAGCUCCACUUAGCCCUGUAGCCAGCUCUCAGAAGCAGGCAGAAGGGCUCCUUGCUUUCAGUCCUCAUGAACCUGAAACACAAAGUGUGACCACCUAGAUCUUUUGGGAUCUGGUUCAUAACAAACUAUGUUUGUGUGACAGACCAUUCUCAUGCCUUCAGACUUGCUCAUUUGUUCUGUGUCUCAGAGGCAGCAGGCAACUGGGUAUGGUUGGAAGCUGAGCUACCUGUGGGUUUGGAGAGAUGGUUAAUGUUUUGGAGAAUAAUGUUUGAGUAGAGCACUUCAGAGACAGGAGUAAUGCAUCAAUCAGAGGGUUAUCUUCUUCCUGUUAAAUAACAUAACUAUGUAGAUGUUUGCUACCAGUAGACCUGAGUGCUUGCUUGCUUUAUUUUCUAAUUUGUGACUCUUGCAGUGGUCAUGAAUUAAAAUGGAUAUCCAACUGUUCCAUGAGGCAACGAAUGGGGAUUUUACAUAUUAAGUAAGUUAUAUUACUUUGAAAACAACAGGUAUGAUAUAGAUCUAUGCCAUUUUCAACCAAGUAGCCAUUAGGUCCUGGAGUUGUUAAGCAGUUCAACUUGUUUAAAGAGCUAGCUAAAACAGAUUUGUUUUUCAAAAUCUUAAAUUUAAAAACUUGGCUUUACUCGAGGAAUCUUUAUUUUAAGACUUUGGUAUCAUUCAAUUAUAGUUUGUUUAUAGAUUUCUUGGGAAUCUUAAUUCAUAAUUUUUAAUAUUUAAAAUAUCUUCGAAGAAAUGUGUAUGAAAAGUAAUUUUAAUUUGCUCUUUUACAUUGACUUUCAUUUACAUUUUAAUGAAAACAUAGUCUCAUUCUUUAGAUCAGCAUUGUCUGCUGGAGCUCUCUGCUACCUGGGAAGGCUCUGCAUUUGGGCUGUCAAAGCCACAAGCUCAGACAAUGAAGAUGGCAAACUGAAGUCUUCCUCUAUAGGCACAACUUUGCAUCAGACAUUUGAUGGGAGAGGUCCAUCUUUGAAGGGAAGUUUUAUUUAAGUCUGUCCCUGGAUCCACAUCAUCCGUACGUCUGUCUACAGGGCAAAAAACUUCAUCUUUCAUGAGUGCAAUUUCAAACUUGGUGCCAACGAGAGACAUCUUCCCUGGACUCAAAUGCGCGAAGCCUGAACAGGACAUCUUGAGUGUUAGCUUCUCUGGGAUGGCUGCGGUGUGCAGCACAUUUUUGUUAAGGUGUUAUUCAAAGUUUCUGAUUAACAUAAGUUUUUCUUAAAAUUAUACAAAAACAUAAUACCAUGAUUAUGGAAAUAAAAAGCCACCCACAAGCUUACUAUCUUUACAAA
rnacentral:lncRNA from 1 species